CAUAUGGAUCUUUAGCUUCAUCUCUGCAUAUUUAAGUAUGCACCCAUCCAUAUGGAUCUUUAGCUCCGUCUCUGCAUUCGUCCCUUUGUCGAGAAUGUAUAAAUAGCCUCAUUAUCUUUCCACUAAAUCUCAAUUCGAUUCGCCUACUUUUUCUUACGCUUUUCGCGUUUUAAUGGGAGGGUGCGCCAACACCCUUGUUGACCUUUGUUGGUCCUUCCCAGUGUUCGCCCUUGUUAGCGAUGUCGCUCAUUGGAUCUUUCUUCUUGCCGGCCUCCUUUGUUUCUGAGUGACGAUCGUUUCUGUGGAGGAUGGAGCGGCCUUCUUUUUCAACUUUGGUUUUCUGGAUGGUGAUGGAGGCUGGCUUCUAUGCUUCUUUCUGAGCAGGACUAGCCGGGACUCGCCUCGACAAGGGACGUCGCUAGACGGUCUUAGUGAGUCUCAUCGAAAAGCAUUGGAUUGCUAAGACCAUCGCUGCUUCACUUCAUCUGCUUCCCUUCGUCCGCUUCUCUCCCUUGCUCUAUCUAUCUGCUUCAUCUGCUUCUCUCUCCCUUGCCCUAUCUAUCUGCUUCUCUCUCUCUCUCUCUCUCUCUCUCUCUCUCUCUCUCUCUCUCUCUCUCUCUCUCCUUCCAUUCAUCAAGCCGGUCGAGAUCGGCGUCCCUCUCAAUUGCUUCUCGGAAGCCAGAGCCGUCGAGCACGUUUGAGUCUUGGCCCAAGAGAUCGACGACCGCCAGGAAAGGCAUCCUGGCUUGACAGAGAUUGCUCAAUACAUUACAGGACAAUUGGAAACGAUAAAGUUGAUCAUCCAUUGAUUCAUUACUUGGUGUAUUCUGUUUUUUGAUUGCAUGUGUUUGUUUUUGCAUUGGGUUUUGUCCGUUCGGUUUAUUGUGUUGCUUUUGCUUCAAAUAUUGAUGGAUUUCUGACCGAUAUUGUUAUAUGUGGGUCUUUUUACACCCGGUGUUGGUUGUAUGCUUGUGAUAAUAUGUCUUUGUUGUGUGCUGCUUUAUGGAUGUUCUGGUUUUUUGUUAUGGUGAAACUCGAAUCACAUGAAUGUAGCUGUUGUUAUUGUUUAAAUUGAUGGUCUGGUAUAAGUUCUUGUUGUAUAUAUGCGGAAAAUCCUUUGUGAUUGUUAAUUCGUGGCAGUGUCGGAGAUGCUAGCUGGUGGCUCUUGACUGUAAAAUUGGCCAUUGGCGGUGUUAAUGAAUUGGGAAUGCCAUUUAUCAAUUAUAUGCAUCAGAAUACAACUGUUGACUUCAGGGAGGAGGUGGUUAGUCUUACUUUGCAUGUUUUUGAAUUCUAUGACAUAAUUCCCUUUAGUUCUUCAUGAAUGCUAGCCAAUGACAGAAACAUGUUACCGGGAUUUUGUUGUUCCUAUUCUCGUGGCCACUCAAGAAUGAUUUCUUAUAUGGUGGCUUAUGUAAAACAUGUGUUAGCUUUAGUGGGAGAAUGUAAGCUUAAUUAGAGCUUAUCGCUUGUUUUACACAUGCUUAGGGGAUUGAAGUCAUAAGAGUUUGGGAUGAACUAUACUUGUAAAGCUAUCAGGGAAUGUAUUUGGAUUGAUACACAACUAUAAGUAGUCUCAGUUUUCAAUAAGUCAACUAUUCUGAUAUGAUGACUUUGGUUUGUGGUGAUAAGGAUAUGUGUUUAUAUGAUUUUAUUAGGAUUACAUGAUGGGAAGUAACCUAAUCAAAUACCACCACUGAGGAUAUAUAAUAGGGGUUCUGCAUUCACACUAAUUACGUAAAAGAACAAGCCCCAUUAUUUGUUAAUUGCAUACUGUAGUGUCGAGGUUAGAAGAGCUCUAUUUUCUUAAGCUGCAAUGGUUUCUCAAAGUUAGUGGUUAAUUGUAUUUGUGUUCAUGUUUGUUUCCGCGAUAAUAAUGUUACACUUGAUGCAUUAGUUUAACUUUAGGUUCAUAAAUGCCAAUGCAUUGUUCUUGUGAAUCCAGAAGUUUCAGAUGUCAGCAACAAGCUUGGUUCUUUUUCUCAUGAGUUUACAUAUUCUGGACACUCCGUAGACUACGCUGUUGCAAUUCAAGCACUCAAGAUGUAGACAAGUGGUUGAAGGCCACUGAAGAAUAUGUAAAGGAACUCAAGUUUAAGCACUAAGUAGUUGCAAUUUGUAAAUGUAUCGGUGGCUGGCAAUGAUGAAAAAAUAUGUAGACUUUCAUGUAAAGAAAAUGAAUGGUAUUCUGAAUGAAGCAUCUUCCCUCUUGAAAAAGGUUUUUUGACAA